CCUCUCUCCCAACCCGCCCGCGGCGCUGUCUGUUCCUCCUAGCCCUUCUCGGCUCUCUUCCGUCGUCUUUCUUCCAAAAUUCCGACAGCCACGAUCUUCUCGUCUUCCAUUCGUACGACAUCUUCCUAUGUAAGUAUUUCUCCCUCUUCAACCUUUCUCUCUCUUCACUCUUUCUACGCUCAUAUUUCCCAUUUCUGACCACGAAUGAUUGACACAGCUUCUUGCGUUGGAUUCCUUUCCUCCUCUU
rnacentral:lncRNA from 1 species